UGGUAGCAGCCGCUUAAUCGAACGGAGGCGACGAGCGUGGUAAUUGGUGGCGAGUGGCGCGGGUGAGUAACGCGUGAGAAUCUACCUUCAGGUCUGGGACAACAGUUGGAAACGACUGCUAAUACCGGAUGUGCCUUAGGGUGAAAGUUUUUUCGCCUGAAGAUGAGCUCGCGUCUGAUUAGUUAGUUGGUGGGGUAAAGGCUUACCAAGACAUCGAUCAGUAGCUGGUCUGAGAGGACGAUCAGCCACACUGGGACUGAGACACGGCCCAGACUCAUACGGGAGGCAGCAGUGGGGAAUUUUCCGCAAUGGGCGAAAGCCUGACGGAGCAAUACCGCGUGCGGGAGGAAGGCCUUUGGGUCGUAAACCGCUUUUAACAGGGAAAGAAGAUCUGACGGUACCUGUUGAAUAAGCCUCGGCUAACUCCGUGCCAGCAGCCGCGGUAAGACGGAGGAGGCAAGCGUUAUCCGGAAUUAUUGGGCGUAAAGCGUCCGCAGGUGGCCUAUCAAGUCUGUUGUUAAAGCCCAAGGCUCAACUCUGGAUCAGCAAUGGAAACUGAAGGCUAGAGUACGGGAAGGGUAGACGGAUUCCCAGUGUAGCGGUGACAUGCGUAGACUUUGGGACGAACACCAGUUGGCGACAGCGCUCUGCUGGGCCGUAACUG
rnacentral:rRNA from 1 species